UCCGGUGGCGAUAGCGAAGGGGAUACACCUGUUCCCAUCCCGAACACAGCAGUUAAGCCCUUCAGCGCCGAUGGUACUUGGGGGGAGACCCCCUGGGAGAGUAGGUCGCUGCCGGAU
rnacentral:rRNA from 1 species